AUGCUAAGAGGAAUGGAAGGCUGCUCGGGAAACUAAAUAAAUAAAGGGUGACCGUGAAGUUCAAGAACAGGUUUGAAGUUCUCAUCUAAAAGAUUGGAGCAAAGCACAGCAAUAAAUGUGCAGUUCUUGGAAAUUGUUAAUGACUGACAAAGGUUCUGCUCGGAGACUGAUACUCGGCAUUGCCUUCAUAUCUGCAGAAAGGGGUCAGCUUGACCGGGAAGAAUGAAGAGUGGAUUAGGGAGAUUGCACAGAAAAAUCUAGCAAAACUUCAGGCUUUAGUAAAGCUCCUCUGUGGCGUGAUUGCAACCAUUCAAACUAGGAUGAAUAUGUAUCUCCACGUAAUUGAAAGCUGGUUUAGCUACAGAUUAAUAAACAGCCUGCUUUGCAUGUUGGAAACAACUUUUCGUGGGGAGCUCAACAGAACAUUUUAUGGCUUGAGUGUAUCUGUUUUAUAUAAAUAACCAGAGGUUUAAGAGAAUCACACAGAAGAAUAAUGCAGAUUAUUAUUAAUGCUAAUGAGGUGAGACUAUUUGUGUUGAAAAAAAUCAUAUUAUCAUUUAAAGAACUUGAACUUUAUGUCUUUCCC
rnacentral:lncRNA from 1 species